rnacentral:sRNA from 1 species
UUGACCGCACCCUUUCACCCACCUUCCACAUACGUGUUUGAUCAAUGUUGCCCAUCGGGAAAGCAGGAAGUCCUUCCUUUUCAUAAAAUCUCCUUCCAGCCAAAACAACACUUCUAAUUUCACUUCCAGAAGAAACAUCUUCAUAGCAUUCAUAUAGUAUAUCCAUGCAUGGAUAAUAUGCUGCACUGUAAGCCUCGAUAAAUUGCUUCUUUCCUUCUUCUGUCAAUGAAUUGUACACUUCAAGCAUCCCCUUUUUCGAAAUAGUUUUAGAGAUGAUUCCAGUGAUGCACUCAACAGUGUUCUUGUAUGCUGAGUCCUCAUCCAACCCAUGCUCUGUGUAUCUCCUGAAA